GCAAAACAAGAGCAAACAAGUCUGUCUGAAUUUCAAGAGGCUGGCCCUGAGGCUGCACUGUGGCAGUCUAGGUGAGGAUACAACUAGAAGCCAGCAGUCUACAGGCUGGAAGAAGGCCCUCACCAGAACCCAACCCUUGGACUUCAGCCUCCAGAACUAUUCAUUCAGCUUUUCGAGACCAGGCAUCACCGAGCGGAGAGAGGGGAAACACCCUGGCUUCUCUUUGGCACAUCAGCCCCUAGUUCUUGAGAGAGAAGGGCAGGGUGGUCUACUCACCAUGUCUGUAUCCUGCCGUUCUUCAUUUGACUCAUCCUGGAUUUCUAACUCUUCUUCCUCGUCCUCUUCCAUAAGGCUGAGUCUGAUGUAGGGGCAAAGAGACUGGCUUUUCAAACUGUUCUUUGAGGACCCCUGAGAGUUUCUCAGACACCCGGGGUGGGGGAAGUGGGGAGCAGUAAGUACAGCAUAGUAGGUUUCCCAAUUGUGCUGACAGGAAGUGCUUUGUGGCUAAAACAAGUCCAAAAAGUACCCACAGAGAGGCAAUGGGUGAGACAGGAAUCCCCUCACAGUGGGCGACAGAUCUGAAGUGAAGACAGGAGAUGAUGAGAAAAGCUCACCGC